GAAAAGGCCCUGAUGCUGGGAAAGACUGAAGGAGAGGAAAUGGAGGCCCCUGGAGGGAACUGGCAGGAUGGACACAGGUCAUUCCACGCCACCUGAGGGGAGCCGCCCACCACCGAUCUCCCCGGCCCCUGCCCUGGCUCCGGAAGGGAUGGCCCGAGUGCUGGCACACUGCUCAGGACAAGAAGUUGUGGCCCAACCCUCCCAGGAACAAGCCCCAGGAGGGCAGAACACGG